AGAAACAGGGGGGUCGCUCGCGGCUUGUGCGUCUCUUUUCUCGCCUCUUUUUCGAAGUGUUUCGCGACACGGAUGACUGGGAGUGCCGGGAGAUCUGCGCGCGCUCGUCGCGUCGGCCACAAACCCUUGAAGCACGGACGUAGGAUGCGAGUGCCCAGUGGGCCACUUUUGGUAAGCAGAACUGGCGCUGUGGGAUGAACCAAAAGCCGGGUUACGGCGCCCGAUGCGGACGCUUAUCAGACCCCAUGAAAGGUGUUGGUUGCUAUUGACAGCAGGACGGUGGCCAUGGAAGUCGGAAUCCGCUAAGGAGUGUGUAACAACUCACCUGCCGAAGCAACUAGCCCUGAAAAUGGAUGGCGCUCCAGUGUCGAGCCUAACCCCGGCCGUCGGAAGGCAUUGAAAAAACGCAAAACGAAAGAACAAAAAACGAUGCCCCGACGAGUAGGAGGGUCGCGGUGGUGGGCGUUGAAGGGAUCGGGCGCGAGCCUGCCUGGAGCCGCCACCGGUGCAGAUCUUGGUGGUAGUAGCAAAUACUCGAGUGAGAACCUUGAAAACUGAAGUGGAGAAGGGUUCCAUGUGAACAGCAGUUGAACAUGGGUCAGUCGGCCCUAAGGAAUAGGGGAAACCCGUUCUGAAAAGAAACCGGAAUCAUAAAAAGAAAGAAAGAAAGAAAGAAAGAAAAAUGACCGGUGAUGACCGAAAGGGAAUCGGGUUAAUAUUCCCGAACCCGGAUGCGGAGAUCGACCUUAACGGGUCUGAAGCGGUAACGCGCAACGAACUCGGAGAUUGCCGGCGGGGUGUUGGGUGGUCGUUUUUCACUGCUUGAUACUUUGCGGAUCAUGCGUAGCGCUCAACUGGCAUGAUAGCUCGCCUUGAGCAGAUUGCAGGUGGUCGCUGACUCAGAGAAACACUUCGCGUACUCACUAGUACUCCUCUGACCUCGGAAAUGAUGAACACGGAACAGGAAGAGUGAGUAAGUCCUCUGGCUGAGCUUACCUAGCUCUCAUAAGCCACACUCAUAAACAAGCCAUUAAAUAAUAAAAUCAUAAAAUUAAUUUAAUGGAUAAAUGAAUGAAAAACUUACAAAACAAAAACUCCAGACUAGCCAACUACUUGUU
rnacentral:ncRNA from 1 species